rnacentral:lncRNA from 1 species
UAAUUCAAUGAGGUAACAGAUGAGAAGCUCCCGGCUCAUUCUGUCUCUCCAAUGCCACUUUCCUUCCUCUUCCUCCUCCUGGCAUGCCCACUUUAGAGCUGACUCCAAAGCCAGUGAUGAAAUCAAAGCCUCACCACCGCCUCCAUGGUCCCAUCCCUCACCUUGCUUCAAGGCUACCAGCUGUCUCCACCCAGCUGGCACUGCUGAGGUUGGAUGAGCCAAACGACAACAACAACAACAACAAAGGCUUCAUGGAGUUAGAAGGAGACAUAAGCUGGCGAUGAGUUGUGCAAAAGUCACCAGCAAAAAGUUCGUAGAGGCAUUUGAAUGUCUUCAGGGCUGUAAAUCCAGGGUCCCCAGAGAAACAGACUGACAUCAUCAUUGCAGCACCGGGAACAGAAACUAAGAUUUCAUGACUACAAAGGAUAAUAUAGUGCCCUUUAGCCACAGAGACAGCAUCCUCACCAGCCCCAAUCAAAAAGUGCUUCUUGGGGAAGGAAAAUAAUCUUCUGGCUUGAAUAGAGAUAUCUGCAUUGUCAGAGCUUCCUUAGCAUAUUAUGGUUGGACAUUUUCCAAAUUGUGUGCUAACACAUCCUGGAAGGUGCUCUGGAUGAC